GACGAACGCUGGCGGCGUGCUUAACACAUGCAAGUCGAACGGAAAGGCCCUGCUUGCAGGGUACUCGAGUGGCGAACGGGUGAGUAACACGUGGGUGAUCUGCCCUGCACUUCGGGAUAAGCCUGGGAAACUGGGUCUAAUACCGGAUAGGAGCCAUUUUUAGUGUGAUGGUUGGAAAGUUUUUUCGGUGUAGGAUGAGCUCGCGGCCUAUCAGCUUGUUGGUGGGGUAAUGGCCUACCAAGGCGGCGACGGGUAGCCGGCCUGAGAGGGUGGACGGCCACAUUGGGACUGAGAUACGGCCCAGACUCCGACGGGAGGCAGCAGGGGGGAAUAUUGCACAAUGGGCGCAAGCCUGAUGCAGCGACGCCGCGGGGGGGAUGACGGCCUUCGGGUUGUAAACUCCUUUCGCUAGGGACGAAGCUUUUUGUGACGGUACCUAGAUAAGAAGCACCGGCUAACUACGUG
rnacentral:rRNA from 1 species